rnacentral:lncRNA from 1 species
CUUCCACUUCAACUACUUCUUUUAGAGAAUGAAUCACCCAUAGUCAGUACCCAAGCUCUUGCAGCAACCAAACAACACAACAAAUCAUCCAGGCUUCACAUGCAAUGUUUUUGAUGAGCUUAAACAAUGAACUUUUCCAAUUUUCUUUCUUAAAGAGGGUUCGGCUGAGAGGAAUAAAAGGGAGGGGAAGAAAUUUAAAGUUGGAUUCUAGUUUAGUUUGCCAAUUGGAGUGUGAAAAUGGGAUUGCAUGUUGAUUUCCACUUGAUUUGAGAAGAAUUAGAUGAAUUGAGGUGAAGGAAGAAGAGAGAAUAGAGUGAAGAAUGAAAUGGGGAAAAUUCUGUUAAAUCAUACCACUCCAUAUAUAUAUAUGGGAAAGGCAGCAUUUACUAAUUUACCAAAAUACCUCUAUAAGGGCAAAAUAGUAAAAAAAAUGGCAAGAACUGUCCUUUUGUCCAAUAUAGUUUAGUAGAUAGAUAUUAUUCAUUUAAAUUAUUUAAUAUUAAAAAUUAAUAUAAAAAUUUGAAGAAUAAAAAUGCACAAAAAAAUGAGUUUAAAAUUGGUUCGAAACCAGUUUAAAACUGAAAAUUAGUUCAAAACCGGUUAAAAAUAAGUAAACCAGUUUAAAACUGUAAAUCGGUUAUGAACUGAUUCUAGACCGAACUGAAAUUGGUUUGAAAAAUUAACCAAUUUUUAUUAAAAUGGUUUUUAAAAACUGAACCAAACGGUUAAUACGAUGCAGUUACAGUUCAAUUAUGAGCCACGAACACCCCUCUAUCUAGUGACACUUACAAUUAAGUGUGGUUGGAUAUUUUUCGUAUUUUUUUUUAUUUUGUAUAUAUAAAUUAUUAUUUACACUUGAAUAGAAGGCAAGCGGACAACAAGCUGUGUCGCUCAACCUUUUUGGAUGGCAAAAUCAAUUAUCGCAAACACAACAUUCAUGGACCUAGGAGACAUGACAUUGCUAUGCAUAACCUUCUGAACUCUAUGUAGAAGGUCAACAGCCUCGGGUGUUAAGAAACCGAAAGUGUCAAAAGCAAAUGGUAUAAAAGCAUGUUGAUUCUCAGAACACGCUUUCUCAUGUUUGGCCACUUUGCUUGACGCAACUUUUAGAGCUGCCUGACCUACGGUAAAAGGUCCGACACCUAAUCCCACAAGUGGUGAAACCCCAGUCAAGUCUACACUAACAUGUUUUCCACCUACUCAUCCAUACACCAUAAUGUCCACAAGCCUGAGUGUUGAUCUUCUAUCUAGUGGGUCAGUCACGAAGUUCACAGGCACCUCCUUCUUCAUUGAUAUCCCUGCCCGUCUGAAUAUAUAAAAAAAUACAUCUGUAACAAAGUCAUGUCUGUACUUAAAGUCGGAAAACUCCUUACAAUAAAUAAUGUGCUCCCCAAAAGUAUCUAUAUGGUCUACUAACUUUUUAAAUUGGUUUAACCAUUUUUUUUUUUUUUUUAAGGGAAAUUGGUUUAACUAAUUUAAAAAGUCUCUUGGUCAGACGGAGCUAUUUUUGUCAUUUCCAAAUCAUUUUCUUUCUUUUUGCAGAAGCAGUUAUAAAAAACAUUGUUUUUUUUUUUUUGGGUAUACGAUUCUCUGUUCAGCUAUGAAAUUGAUCCUCUCCGACGCUAACAACAACACAAUUCAAAUUUCAAUUCAAUUUCUGCGUUUUUUAACAGAAGAACCAAAUCGAAUAAAAAUUGAGCUGUGUGGUGUGAUUAAUUAAAUGGGGGGUGAAAAAACGAAGAGAGUGGUUUUCGUGACUGUAGGAACGACUAGUUUCGACGCUCUGGUGAAAAGUGUGGAUUCAGAAACUGUUCAAAAAGAGUUACUUGCAAAAGGGUAUACCCAUCUUCUUAUUCAAAUGGGUCGUGGAUCCUAUCUUCCUACCAAGGUAGUAACUACUUUCAAUCAUUUUCUUCAAUUUGCAUUUUUUUUUUUGUUUCUUACUAUGUUUUCAUAAAUUGUAAUUGUGAUCUUGUUAUGUUCAAAUUUACCAUGACAGAGUUGUUCUUAUUUUAAUGCGAUUAUGUUUUUUUUUUUAAUCUUUUGCGUUUUUGUGUUGAAAUGGGAUUUGUAGACAAACUUUCCUUGUUUAAAGAAAAGUUGAAGCACAUAAUUGUAUUACUACGAAGCACCUCACCAGACAUGACACUUAGUCACUUACACUUUGAUAUCGGUAAUAAUUUGAGAAAAUGAACCAAUCGAAUGUAAUCAUAUUUGUUGAUGUUGUGUUAGUAUCGGACAUCAGACACUAUUUCAAUCUGAAGUGUCGGUGCUACAUUACAUUUACUUUAGUAGAUGACAUAUGGGGAAAAGUAUCCUCUUAUAUAGAAGAUACUUCGGUUUGUACUGAGUUGGUUUUUGUUAACUUUUUAAUGUAGUCCGAAGGAGAUUGUACAUUGGCUGUAGAUUACUUCACUUUUUCUUCCAGUAUUGCUGAUCAUAUCAGAUCUGCUUCUCUUAUCAUUAGCCAUGCAGGUAUGCUUGCUACACCUUGUCCUUUGUAUGUUGUUAUUCACAUUAUUAUGUAAUUAUAGACACAUUGUAUUUCUUAGGUCUUGGUGGCUUGUUUGUAUUAUGCUCUCCCAUUAUGAUUGAGAAGUAUUAGUAAUCAUGUUUAAUUAUUUAACGGCAUGGUGUUUGUCUGUUUGGUUAAUAUCUGAUAACCUAUUCUUUUGACAAAGUUGGCUUUUAAAAACGGUUGGUUUUCUGCAAUUAACUCGCUAGUUCAAGUGAGCCAAUAAUUUAUAAUGAUUUGCUUUGCCAUUCCUUCCCCUUGCUCCACAUAUGAAAUGGAAAUGAUUUUUGUGUUGUCUUUGUUUCUUUUUUUGGGUAUGUAGAUGAAGUAGUAAGCAUCACUAAAACUCACACACCACUUCGAGGUCUUGGAUUCGAACCCGGGUGAAGGUGUCCAACCUAGCGAUUUCGGCAUUGCGAGUUGCUGUGUUGUAUUUGGUAGGAAUAAAUUAUGAAAAUAGAGAAAAGGAAUAAGCAUUUUAUUACUUGAUUGGGAAUGAUCAGAAUGAGAAAAAAUAUCUCUCCUCAAAACAGUUUUUGCUAGGGAAAUUCGUGUUAAAAUCAGCACAUGUCUUAUUAUGUGACUGUAAAUGGACAGAGUACAGCUGAAGGGAAAGCCCUCGGACUAGAGAAAGCUCUCGGCUCCAGCAAAGACAAUAUUUUACUCAACAUAGUAUUUCUCUAUUUCUUCGUUCCAUAUAACAGACUUCCUAUGGUUUUCUCUCCAUAACUAGCUAACACUCUCCCCUCUGCCUAUAGUCUUUCUACGCCUUUGGGGGGCCUUCAAGUAUAAACUUUAAGGGGUUUUGUGCAUAGUUUUAAAACUCGGCUCGGUCAUCGACUCGGUAGAGGCACUGAAGCACUGAGUCGAUGGUCGAACCAUCGGGUCAUUUGUUGAACCGCAUGACAGAAUCGGAUGACUCGGUUAGAUAACCUGGUGUUUAGAUUAAAUUUGUAUAGGUAUUUAAUCAAAUUAAAUCGGAUUGAACUGGUGACUUGAUUACUCCAAAAACUAAAAUAAUAACAUAUAUAAAAUAAAAUAUCCAACAAACAUAAUUUCAUAGACUAAUUAUUCAUGUGAUAAAAAAAAGCGAAGAUUAAUUAUUCAUGAGCUUUAAAUAAAAUAUUUGAGCUUUAUAAUUAUAUUUUUUUUAGGGAAGCUUUAUAAUUAUACAUGUCUAUGUUUUUGUCCGUUAAUAUUGUGAGUUAUUUUUAUAAAAAAAAUUAAAAAAUUGAUAGGUAUUUGCUUUGUAAAGUAUUAAACGUUAAUUUUUUGAGGUAUUUUUAUCAACCAAUAAAAGGUAUUUGCUUUGUACAGUAUUCAAUAUUUCGAUAGUUUUGAUCUUAACCAAAAAUUUGUUUAAUAUAUUUUUAUUAAAAGCAAAUAAAAAACAGAGAGAACAAAUGCUUCAAUGGUUAGGAAGUUGUUUCUUAAUGGGAGGGUCACGAGUUCAACUCCCAUAUGUGCCAUUUUUUGUAACAUAAUUUAAUUAAAACAUGAUUUAAGUUAAAAGCAAAAAAAAAAAAAAGAAGAACCGGUUCGACCCAUAACUCGGCCGAGUCACCGAGUUUGACCGGUUCUCGCCGACUCAGCUGCAUGGCCGAUCCGAAGGUAUGCUCGAAACGGUCUACCCACCGGUUCUCGGUUCAACCGGCUGGUUCGAGCCGAGUUUCAAAACUAUGGUUUUGUGGGCUUCUUGGGGAUUGCACGAUUUCGAUUGCUAUCCAUAUCGCCCCCUCUAACAUUUGCCUAGUCCUUCAGGCAGAGAUUUGGAAAUAUCUUUGAUUAUCUCAGCCUCCUGCCAAGUUGUUUUCUCUACUAGCGGACACUUCCAUCUUUUGUUGAUAACACAACCUCAGGAUUCAUAAGUUCAGGUUCGUCUACCUCCAUUUCAGGGUGCACUGUUUCUGCCACAAAACUGAUAGGACCCAAAGUAUGAAUUGGAAAACUUAAUUGUACCGAUGCUAAAUAACUCAACCAAAAGGAUAAUUCAGUUAUAGAGUAUAGUAAGAAUUUGAAAUGGAAAUAUAAGAGCUCCUUUCAAAAUGAUAAACCUGUUGGAAAAGGAGCCCUAUCAGGACGGAUACAGGGGAGGGCAAGGGUGGGCUCCAGCCCCUCCCUCCCCCCAAAACAACUAUUAAUGCAUAUAAUAUAUUUGAAAACUUUGAACUUUUUUAUUUUAAUUUUUUUUGGUUUCUCUUAAGUUUUUUCCACCGGAGAAAAUUGACACUAAAUAUGACUAUCUCAUUUUGUCAAAAUUUGAAAAACUUUGAUUCGUCAUGUUGUAGAAGUCGAACUUUCGUUCAAUUUUGAUCUUUUACAUUACAAACGUUAAAACACUUUUGUUCUUUUCAGUCAAUUUUUCUUGCCUGCCUCCCGUUGACCCCGAGAGAUAAUAUUCUAUCUCUCGUUCUCUCUCUUCACUCAACUAGUGCCACCAGUCCCAUUCUGUUAUGUCCCUUCUCCGUCUAACUGCUCUUCUCUAUCACGCGGAUGGUUGUAUUUUGAUUAAACUGAAUGGAAAAAACCAAUGUAUCAUAAAGGUAGUUUCUUGUGACCCUUUUCUUUUUGCCCUUUUCUUCUUGUUGUCGUUGCUGCUAGCCGGCUGCUAUUUGGGCCUGAGGUAGUAACUGUAACUAGUCUGAUUUUAUGCAGGGUCAGGUAGCAUAUUUGAGACGCUGCAGCUAUGCAAACCUUUAAUUGUGGUUGUAAAUGAGGAUUUGAUGGAUAAUCAUCAAAGUGAGCUUGCGGAAGAACUUGCAAAUAGAAAACAUUUGUUUUGUGCUAGUCCUCAAACACUCCAUCAAACCAUUGCUGAUAUGGAUUUAAAUGCUCUCCGUCCUUACUCUCCAGGUGAUGCUACGCCAGUGGCCAAGCAUAUAAACAGAUUUCUUGGUUUUCCUGAUGAUUGAGCCGAAGACUUUCUUGUAUUUUUGCUCUAUUAUCAGAGACCGUGCUUGUAGAUUUAGGAACUCUUGUACUUCGGUAUUCAACAUGUGACUUCUGCAUAUUUAGUCGUGUGGAAAAUUGUCUAAGAAAGAAAGAACUGUGUACCACAUGUUCAAAUUGUCUACUUGAUGUUGAGGUGACUCAGGCAUCGUGUUUUUAUUCUAAAUCAAGCAUCAUGUUUAGACAUGUCAUUCUUUGCUCCUAUUUCCAUCUUGUUCAAUCUUUUCACUUUCAUUUCCUUAAGACUUGGUUGGAUGAAAAGCAAUGUCAAACAGCAGACUAGUUAUAGCAAAUCAUUAUUUCAGACAAUUCGAAAAUAGUAAUUAAGACAUAACCACAGAAACUUGCAAAUCAGUUUCUUUUUUUCACGUCAGUUCCACAUAUUACCUUUGUUUCCACAGAAGCCGGAUUAUCAAUGGAUAGUUCCAUUUCAUAUCAAUGAAUCACCAGGUCUUCAAUGUUGAUUCACAGAAAGCACGUCCUAUAAUUGAGAGGGCGAGGCUACUGACUUUAAUGCUGUGUAUGGGUUCGAAAAGAAGGUAAAAGAAAAUGAAGUAAACAGAAUGUUAAAAGGAAUGAAAGUGAGUAAAAAACGAAAUGACUAUUUAGUUGAUCAAGUAAAAAAGACAUCAUGAUAAGAUGGGUUAAAUUAUAUAUUGGCAAAAUUACACACGCAGUCCUGUAACCAUUACCUUGGAUUGGUCCUUCAAAUUUUAUUUUUUCUCAAAUUUGUCCUUUAUGAUACAUUUUAUUUGCAUUGUUAGCCUUUAAGUUAUCUUUUUGCUGCAUUGUAGCCUUUAUGUCAUAUUAUGUGAUUGUGUGAACCACAAGCUUUGUUACAUAAUUAGAGAUGAAUAACAUUCAAGUAUCCAUUCAUCACACUUCACACUAAAGAUAAGUUACUAAUUGUUUUAAUUUGUAAAUUUUAAUCAUGUCUAAUACCUUGUUGCGAACGAUGAGAUACUUUGGUUUUAAAGUUUUUCAAUCAAAGAAUUUAGAUUUAAAUAAGAAAAGUGAGUAGAAAUGAUAUGGACAUAUCUGACAUGUCAGUGUAAGUUUUCUUGAUAUUAAAAUGUCAAACUUGCUUAAUUUUUACGGAACUUAUUAAAAAGGCUAGCAGUGAAAGUAUAAUGUAACAUAAAAGAUCAAUUUAAAAAAAUAUAAACUUAACAGACCAGUCUAGGAAAAAGGCCAGACUUAAAGGACCGCAAAUGUAAUUUUGCCUAUAUAUUUAUAUAUAAAUGCAUGAAUUUAAUUUUUUUUUUUGUUGAGGAAAAUAUUGGUGUUUAACAUUUAUAUUUGUUUAAGUAUUUAUAGUGGUAAUGGAACAGUACAUAAAGUACACACUUGCUUUCAUUUUUCAUUUCUCAGCUCAAACAAACGUCAUAAGCUUCCAUCCAGACUUUAUUUUUGUGAACCAAGACCAAACUCUACCAACUACUUUUAGUAAUUUAUUCAGAAUGUAUCAAAAAAAUUAUGUUGGGAAAUUAUCAUUUAAUUUCACUUACUGUAGAAUAUAAUACACUGCUUUGCUUCAUUUAGUCCAAUAACAAGUAAUAAGAAGCAAUAGUCAUUUAGACAUUUGUUAUUGAUCUCUCACACAUGAAAAAUGUUUUGACUAUUACUUUUCCCAUCCUAUGCCUUUCCUCGCGCGCCCUAUUUUUUUUUCCAAUUUUACCCCUAGUCCGGAUUUCGUUUUUCGGAUUGCAUUGUUAAAAUUUUGCAGAUGUUUCCGGAUUUCAAUAUCCGGAAUAAUGUUUUACCAGAACUUUUGCAAUUUUAAUCUUCAAAAUUCGUAAAAUAAAAUGCAAAUAAAUUAAAAAACAGAAAUAAAAGGACACAAACAUAAAAACAACUGAUUUUAUUAAUAUAUGAACAAUACAUUACAAUAAUUUUCAAGCUUUUUAAACUUAUUACAUAAGAUCCUAAAUCUAUUUAUACUCUUAACUUAUUACAUAAGCAAUAUCGGUGGCUCCAGCCACCGGUGGAGAUGAAAGAGGGGGGACGAAAGAAGAUGGCGGGGAAGAAGAAACCAAUGUUGCCUGAUAGCACAUACCAGUAGCUUUGGUGUUGGUGGGGAGACAGAGGGGGCACAGGGGCCUCUAGGGAAUAAGAGACCAUGAUGGUCACCAUGACACCCAGGCAAACGAAUCUCACACCCAGACUAACCCCUUCCAGUGGUGGAGCCCUUCAUGGGCUGGCCCACCCGAAAAAAUUAAAAAAUCAACGAUUAUAGAUCUAUUUUGCGAGAUUUUAUGCAAUUUUUGUGUCGGUUUUAUGUGUUGGUUGAUCCAAAUUCUUGCAAAGUGAUGUAGUGGCUCACCCGAAAAUUUAAAUAAUUCAAUUAAAGGUCUAAUUUGCGAGACUUUAAACAAUUUUUCAAUAGUUAAUUUUAGUGGCCCACCCUGACAUUUUUUUCUGGCUCCGCCACUAACCCCUUCCCUAUUGACCGAUCAUAUGACCCCUGAUGGAUUUCCAAAGAGGCCUCUUUGUAUGAAAGGCCAACGAUGGAAACACAUCGUUGUAGAGGAGAAGAGGAGAAAGAAGAAGGUGUGCAAAUGUUUGAGGAAAUGAACCAUAUUUAUAGGGGAGGGGGGGUUAAAAAAACGCGGGGAAGCCAUCAAUGCCGGUCAAAAAACGUGUAGAAACACGUUUUUCAACUUGACCACCGUCCAAAACGUUUGAAAAACGUUUUCUUUGUAGUGCAUACCACCGGCCAAAAGUUUCUGGUGUAAUCUGGAAUAUAUAAUCCGGAAUAUAUAUUCCGAAAACAUACGAUGUUGGGGUGAACAAAGGGAAACUUGAGACUUUGAGUAUGGUGAGGGUUGGUUCGGAUUUUAGAAUUCGGAUUUAUUCAGCAUUGGAUUCUUUUGUGUGUCCCACAUUGCACCGACAAUUUUUUGUGGUCCACAACGCCCACAUACCUCUAUAAAUAGGGGUCCCUGUUUUCAUUACAAGUAAACUACAUCAGACAAAAAAACAUGGAAUUCCCUGGCUUUGAUCAGAACACCAAGCUAGCGGCAGUCUACUACAACGGUGGAACACCACCCCAUCUGUUUAGGAUUCGAGACGAUGUCACCCUCUCCGAGCUGAAGGAUGAGCUGGAUCAAAUCAACAAUCAACUAAACCACAAAGACACGAGGAGGGUGGUCGGAGUUGAAUAUCGAUGUCCGUUGUCUGACUCAACCGGAUCUCUUCGCUUCAGCCGGAUGAAACACAAGAACGACGACAACGUGCGAACCAUGUUCUCUGUCUUUGGUCAGCAUAGUACAAGAGGACCGAUCGAGUUGGACGCUUUGUUGGUUAGAUCUGCUGAACAAAUUCUGAAAAGUUUGCACCGGACCAGGAACUACGAAGAGAUCCGGGCUCUGCUGGAGGGACCAGAGGAGGUAGAAGUUAGUUUAGAUGAUCCGUGAUAAUGUGCUAUGUUUUACUUAAUCGCGUGUUUUAUGUUGUUUUAAUUGAGUGUUAGUUAUGUGUUGUUGAAUUAAGUUGUUGCAUUAUGUUUUGAAUAAUAUAUAUAUAUAUAUAUAUAUAUAUAUAUAUAUAUAUAUAUAUAUAUAUAUAUAUUAUUUAAACUUUCAUUAUGUUUUAAUUUACGUCAAAUAUGUUCAUUUAUUCGAUAAAAUAACCAAAGAAAUGAUUUUCGGAUUACAAAAUCCGGAUUUGCCUAGGGCGUAUGUGUGUUCCGAAAAACGAAAUCCAGAAUACCUCAUCAUAGGAUUCUUUUUUAUGGACCACAUUGCACCAAGAGUUUAUGUGGUCCUCAACAUCCAAGGACCUCUAUAAAUAUAUCCUCUUCGGUUUCCAGCUUCAAUACCAUCACAACACACAAACACACCAAAGAAAACCAUGCAAAUUUUUGUCAUUAAGCUGAGGAUCUUUCUCAUGCGGUCGCAAAUAGAUGAGUUAGCUCUCUAUUUGACUGCAUGAUGAAGAUCCUCAGCAUGCUGUCCUUGAUACAUAUCAAGAGGUUUCUAUGAGUUCGAUCCUUCUGCCUGUCAGAUGAAUAAGUCAUUUGGCAAGGCAGCAUGAUCGAACUCAAAGAAAUCCUCUUGAAAACACCUUCCUGAAAGAUUCAACAUUUAUGUUAUUUUGGUUUUUUUUUUCAACUGUUUAUUUGUCUUAUGUUGAUUCUAUUUAUAUUAUGUACCUUUGUUCUAUUUUUUUUCCAAGGCAUUUGCAACAAAAACGAUCCAAACAAAAGGGUAUAAUGCAGUUCGGACUUUAAAAUCUGGAAUAGCUUCAUGCAUUCAGGAUUAUAAAAUCCGAAAACCCUUAGUAACAUUUUGGCCGGUGACGUUUCACCAAAGGUUAUGCCGAUUUGUGAAGUUUUAAUACGUUCUUGUGGACGGUUUUGAAUGAAAAACAAGUUUUCCUUGACUUCCAAAUUAUCUAUGACUUGUUUUAGGCUAUAAAAAAGCUUGGAUCUUCAACAUUUUCCUUCAUUCUUCUUCACCCUCCUUUCUUACAUUUUCUUCAAAAAAAAAUUAGUUUUUUAGGUAGAUUUUAGGAGUGUUAGUGAUGUCAUAGUCAUUGUUGACCGCUCAUACGACCCCUGCAAUUGCAUUGCAGCUUAUGCGGGGGUCGUAUAACGGUCAACAGAGACCCUUGACAUCAAAGAAAGACAAAAUAUUCAUAUCGUACUUGUCUGGACUAUAUAUUCCGGAAACACUAACAAUCUGGUCAAGAUUACAUAAUCCGAACCAGAGGUAUUUAUGGAAUUUUUGCAGGGCGCGCGAGAAGGCAACAGGGUGGGAAAAGUAAUAGUCAAAUGUUUCAGUUAAUUAGCCCCCCAUAAAGUUAGUGGUCCUGAAGAAAGAUCAAAUCCGAAAAUUAGUUCGUUUUCUUCACCCCAACAUCAAUCCACAUAUAUGCAAUACAAAAAACCACCAAGUAUAUACAUCCCAUAUGCAUUAAAGAAAGCAUUUAAUGUUAAAAAGUUUACAUAUGACCUACUGAAGAAAGAAUUUUGACAGGAAUCAAAGUGUCCUAAUACCUAUUUGUUACAUCACUAUCAAAUGGCUUCCGGUGAAACAUGUAUAAGUAUUCCAUAAGUCAUGGAAUCCGGGGAUUAUAUCUUCCCCUUAACCAAAAAGAUCCAAUUGAACUCAUGAUUCAUGGUUUUCAAUAAGCAUGCUACAUUUGACAUAAUUAUGUCUGUAUCACUGCUUCAAAAAAAACAUGCAAAACACCAAGUUUUUCCUUCUAUAUGACUGAUAAGAAUCAUUAAGGCAUCAGAGUCCACCACGAUUGGGGCAAACAUUAGCAAAGUGAGAUGGAUCACCGCAUGUAUAGCACCUUCUAUCAGAAAUAGGAUCACCAGUGGCUGACACAAAUGUCCCAUUAGAAGAAUUAGAUCCAUUGCGACCCCUACCACGAGAUCCACGGCCACCAUUUCGACCACGGUUGGAUGCUGGAGUACUAUUUGAACGUGGAAAACUUCUUCCUUCACUGCCAUUGUUGAGGUCAUCCACCCAUCUUCUGUAAUAGAGGUCAUAAGAUUCACGUAAGCAAAUAGCUGUCUCAAAACCAUGAACUAUAUUUUGUUCCUCUAAGCUGCAUGAUAUCAUCCAUCACAUAAUGAAAACCAUGCAAUAUAAUACACUGAUUUGCUAUAUUUCGUCCAAAAAUUAAAUUGAAAUUAAUGUUAGCCUGUGUUAUUGGUGGAUUGAAAGCAAUCAAGGGGAAAGAGGUUGGUAGGCUAUUGAUUCUGUUAUCUAGACAUUGCUAAGUGUCAAUGAUGUGAUAGUCACAAUAAUUUUGGCAUGGAUUAGGAGUUCACGUACACAAAGAAUCUGCACCCCUGUGUUUGACAUGAGUAGAAAUCCCUGCCCCUGUUACUAUCUGUAUUUGCAGUUUGCAAACCACACGGGGUUCCACACGAGCUGCAUGCAACAGAAGAUUCCCCUGCAUUGUGUAAAAAGGUUUAUUACAAGAUGCAUUCCCUUAAAUUUCAAUUUUGGCAGCUGCUAAACAAUGAUGGAAAAAUGUAUGGUAAGUGAUUUGCAAAAAAAUUCUAAAACUAAGACAAAAGUUAAGACUCCUAUCCUUUUUGAAGAGAAUAAUUCAGUUCUUAUUUUUAACAUCCAGGUAAAAAAAUAUACAUACGAACACAAAUUAUCGCCUCGACUAGUGUAGCAAUGGGAUAUAGAAAUUAGUAAACAACAAUAAUAGCCCUUUUCCACUAGGUGAGGUCGAUUCAGUGGAUAAACGAAUCCAUAAAGUUUUAUAGUAACUUUUUUUAAUAAUAAAACUAUUGAAGUCUUUCUUUUUACCUUUAGAUUUUCUGCGUGUUAGAAGUUAGAAGCCCCUUAGAGAUUACUACCUUUUCCAACAUAGGUUCAAACACAUCUUUCUUUCUUUCUUUAUUAUACUUGCAAUAUCAUAAUGACAUUUCAAAAUAAUUAAAAAUAAAUAAAUUUAAGCACUUCAAACCAACAAUGAUGUGUGGAACAAAAGACUGGACAGUCUAAUGGCGACAAAAACAGUAAACUUGGUGUUGUCGGGAUGAGAAUGCUAGCUGGACAAGUGAUUACUCGAGAAAAUAUAGAAUUAGAAAUACAAAUACUAUAGACAAAAUUGGGUUAGGUUCUAAUUUCUAUAGUAGAGAAGAUGGCAGAAUCUCAUCUUAGGUGGUUUUGGCAUGUACGGAGAAAACUUGUAGAAGCACCAGUAAAGAGAGUACAUCAAAUGGAGGAUAGUCAAACAAUCGGAGACAGAAACCAAGGAAAACUAUUGGAAAAUCAAUAAGAGUGAGUUAGGUGUAAAUGAUCAACUUUGAACCAAAAUACAUGUCAAGACUGUAUGACAUCAAUUGACCCAUGAAGCCAACCCACCUAGUGGGAGAAAGCGUAGUUGUUAUUGCAUUGAAUUAAAUUUCAACACUUUGUGCAGCAUUAUUCACAAUCAUCAGCACAUCAAUAACAUGGUGAGGCUUGGAUAGGGCAGAUUCAUCUCUAGGACCAUCAAUUAUCACAUGUCAAUUCAUCUACAAAAUCCAAAAUUAACAUUUGUGUAUCACAAACUACAGGACCAAGAUCUGCAUGGUUGACUCUCACUGCUUGCUAAUUUCCUAAUGUCCAAAAUUUACAAUUCUUAUUUCUCUAGGCUGUCUAUUCUGCUGUGGCAUUUUAAAAUUCCAGAAAUCUUACCAUUUUGUUGGUUCAUUCCAGGAUAUUGGGGAUUCCUGGAGCGUCGAGUCUGUGAAGGACAGUCAUUAGAAGAAUGCCCUGUUUCUUGACAGUGCGAACAAACUGCUUGCCUUGGGUUGGUAUGAUGGGCGUUGCUGGUUGAUGCAGUAGACCUUGGGUUGGUAUGAUGGACGUUGCUGGUUGAUGCAGUAGGUCCUCGACCUCUUGCUGGGAAAAAGGCAAGGUAUAAUCAUUGGAAUUUAAUACUUAUCCAUGAAAAAAAAUUAAAUAGCAGUAAACAGGUUAAAACUGCAUUCCUUUCUGUCACUGACUUGUGACCGCAAAAUGCUAUAAAAACUCAUUUUAUGCUGAAAGUAAAAUGAAAAUACCCAUACAGAAAAACUUGCUUAAGGGUCGUAACAGUAUCCAUAAAUAAAUCAUAAUAUCUCUUAAAAAAGUUUCAAUGUCAUUGAUAAAAUUUGUAGGUAUCUAGAUUGAAUCUGUCGUAUAUACACGGGUUAUGUCACGAGUUUUCGAUGCUAACAGAUAUUGUUCAACCUAUUAAUUAUCAAGAGACUACGAGAAACGGAGUGUAAAAAAAUGAGUGAAAACGUAAAGAAGGCUACUCUUAAGUAAGAUUGUUUUUUUUCUAUAUAGCGAGAGAGUAGAGCUAUAUACCCACAUUGAUUAAAUUAAAAGUACACCGCAAUCUCAACCCACAAAAUCUAAGGAUCUGGAAGCCAACUAUAAUCUGUCAUUACUGAAUAUAACUUGUGAACAGAAUGUAGAGGCAUAUAUAACUAUAUAACAGCCCAAUUGAAUCUCAUUGUUACUGACACUGAUAGGUAGAAGUAAUCCUGUAUUGCUGACAACUGUACGCUGUGUGCAGCUGUGGUAGGACCCGUCAUGAGAAUAUCCCAAUGGAUAGUAGAGGUGAGGUGGCAAGUUAGUUAGGGGAAAAAUGGGAAACACAUGUGGCAAUGAGUGAUUGGUGAGGUGUGUGAUCAAUUUUGUUAUAAGAGUAUGUGAAGGUAGAGAUCAAAGCAUCUUUGAUCAUUUUGUUCAGUUAGAACCUUAGGGUUGGGCAGAGAGAGAAAUGUCUCUUCUCUGAGGAGCUUUUGCUCUGGGUUACAGGGGUUAUCUUCUGUAACACAUCUAUUUUCAAUUCAAUAAUACAAUUUAUUUCUUUUCUGUGAAUUCGAGUUUCUAUCAAGCUGUUAUCAAAAGACUAAACUAUUAUUGACAGUCUAAUUCAAUUUAACCAUAGUUUACAUAGAGCCAUUAUUUCAUAUGAAACAAUAUGUACAAUCCAAAUAUAUUUUUAGAAGCGUUACUACUAAGUAAUUGGCCAUUCAUACAGACCUGGCAUGCGGGAGCCGGUACCACAUAUUUCUGUCAACUGUGUAAGAAUCUCAUCGCAGCCACCAAUGCAACCUAUAAUAACACAUGUAUUUAUAAAACAUAAGUGCUUCAACUAAAAAAGGUUUGCAUAGCUGUCAUAUCAAUGUGAAUGAAUAUGUUAAAGAAUCAAUAUUGCAAAGGAUAGUUUUCAAUGUUGUUUUCUUUCCAGUUGCUCCUUUGGCAGAUAAUAAAAAAAUAAAAUAUGGGAAACAAUAAUCUUUCAAAGCACGCAAACUUGCAACAAAUUUUGUCACCAGAUUGGGAUUUAAAAAACAUAAAAGUAAAUGCAUAUAUAUUUUAAAAAAAGGAAAUGUAUGCUCACAAAUUAAAAAUAUCAAGAAAAUUUAUCAUAAAAAAGACAUGCAACUACCCAAAUGGUUGACAUUGUAGCUUGGUGGUAUUUUCAGCUGCUGAAACUUGAAUUGAAUUAGGUAAACAGGACCUGUAAUAUUUUCUACAAUUAGAUAUGAAAAUAAUAUCUAAAACAAGACAUGGAACCAACAUCGCUAAAACAUAUAUCAAUAGAAGAAAACCAUGUGUUUCAACUACACCAUGAUCUCAUGAUCUCACUGGUUGGAUCUCUUAUGUUACUCUUCAUUGUGCAAGUCCCAAUGUUGGACAUCAUCUAAUUAAUGUAAGUUGUCAUUGACAUGAAUUUCUCCUCCCACAAAUCCACUCUAUCAAACAUCCUAGAUAUGGUGAACUAUUUAUUUUGCUAGCCUCAGGUUUCUUCUUUUGGAUAGGAUCCAGAAAAAUAGAGCACCCAAGAUAAAAGCGGAUUAUAUUUCCAAACAGAAACAAUAGACUUGUUAUGCUAAAGACAAAAGUCUCCUACAAACAGUAUUCUCUAUCCGCAAAAUUACACACCCUACUAUCACAAAUGCUCCUAAUAAAUAACUUCCAGUUGUUUUCUAAUCAUAAUUGUCGUUACACAAUUAUGCCACAAAUUAUUUCCUGAUCAUAACUGCCAUCAGGCAGUUACUUCUCAUGCUGCCAAGUAUAGACAUUCCAAGUUUGUGACUUGGCUGGUUUAUAGACCUGGUUCAGCCUUGUGGAUCCCAUCACCAAUCCUAAAGAAAUAAUCUAAAAAUAUUGGAGAUAUCUUUAUGUAUUCUAACAAGAAUAAUAAAUUCUCCAAUAUAUCAGAAUUGAAAGGGGAAAAAUUCAACAAUUCACAUUAAGUGCUGGGUGAACAUAUUCUAGUUUUACAACAUAAAAUUUUGCUUCCUUAGUAGAGAGAGAGCCAAAACAAAGCCAUGCAUUAGCAUGCAAACCACCAACGUUUUUUUUUUUCUUCAGUAAGAAGCUAAUCAUGUAUGUUAAUGCUAUCUGUCGAGUACAAACCAGGAGUGCAAUUGUUGCAAGCAUUGGUGGUCACAACCGCUUCUGAUAUUGAUCCAGGGAGCCAGACAACACUUCUACACUGUUUUUGACAAAGGCAAAUUUAUUUUAGUGCCGGUCAGUUAUAACCAAGAGAAAUAGGGACAGCAAGGGAGAAAAGCUACAUAGAACUUUCCUUUUUCAAAAUUAAAUUCAGAGAGGAGAGAAAAAUUAGAUAUCUAUCAGUAUGAGUAUUUAACUACUUGCUCUUGAGUGAUGACUACUUCAAAAAGGACUUGAGAAUCUAUCUACAUGGACAAAGGCAACAAAGAGAACAAAUUUUCUUUGAAGUUUUCCAAUAAAAGAAAGCAGUUCCUGUAAUUAUUGUCGUUGCAAAGGAAGAAUUUUCAUCCUCCUUUUUUGUUUGUACUAAUUCUUUUCUCGUUUAAUAAUAUUUUUUUUAUUCACCUUGUAAAAGGGGGAUGGGGGGCAUGAUGUAUUGGCAAUUCCAAGUGUAAAUAAGUUCUAACUUUUUUAUAAUAGAUACAUUAACAGGAAACUGAAGGGAAAAAAGAUUGUAAAAAAAAAAAACCAACCUGAGGGUAACUACGGCAUCCAACCAUAAAAUUGCCAUCCUGAUCAAUGAUGAUAAUAUAAUAUUAAGCUUUAUACAUAAAAUAUAAACAUGACAAAAUUCACCUAUAAUUCAAGAAUAAAUAAUUUCAUACUUUGAUCUUAAAUCAACUAGAUAGAUCAUGCACCACCACACCACGCCCACCACCCCAAAAAACCCAUCCCUUCAUGUUGCAGACCAUAAACAACCUAACUUCCACAACCACUAUCCUUCUUGGUGACAUUGUAAUUGAUUAACUGUCGCAUGAUCCACCAAAAUAAUGGCGCAUAAUUGAUCAAUUUAUUUUUUUCAUAAAUAAAUGCCCUAACUUUGUUCAUGAAAUGCCAUUAUUUACACCUAGGAAACCACAACUACCCAAAAACAUACUCGAUUUUUCUUUAGCACCAUAUCUGAUUCUUGGCAAAGUCUACACCGUCGAACAACUACCCCAGUUCCAUUCUGCUCAUCACUGCCAACUCUAUUUAAUCUGCAAGAGUGGUUGAAAACCCAUUAACAUUUUACAUAAGGAAUCCAUGAGGCAGAAGGUGCAGGGAUAACUACCUUUCAAAAAAUAUUGCCAUAGCUUCUAAAAGUUUAACUUUAUUUAAUCUUGCCUGCAUACAUUCACAAGUUAUCAAUUAUUGAAGGUCGCAUUGUCCAUAAUCAGAAAAGAAAACAAUCAUAUAGGGCAGAUGGCAUGGAAAACCUACCUAAAUGAAUAUUAAAUUAGUACCUAUAAGUUUCUUCUAGUUUGCAUUUUCUCACCAAAAAUAAUGUUGUGAAUAAAAUAAAAAAAAUGUAUUUGAUUUUUUUUUUUUUUUGCUCAAAAUCUCUCCGGUCUAAAUGCCAAGACUUGUGGAGAAAAGCCACAACCCAGUUUAUUGCAGAAAGCACCAAAACAGUUGGUCUUCCCUUACCAAAAAAAGUCAAAUGAACUCACAACGCAUCCUUUCCUACCAAAAACGUCCUACGGGAGUAAUAAUAAUUGGAAAAGGAUCAGAUGCAUAUAAUUAAUGAAGGUUAAAGAGGAAUGAUAUUUAUAAACCAAAUUUCAACAAGAAAAGAGAGCAUGUGAAUAGAAUAUGCAUAUAAAGGAGAUUGGGAUAUUAAAAGGGAACUUUUUACAAGAUAUAAGAAAUUCGUAUUAGUUAUUACCUUCGCAUGUCAUUAAUAUGAGCAAGAAAACUAAAGUUGUCAUCCCAAAAGCAAAAGUAAAUGAAUAUUUUUAAUUAAGGGUUCACAAGAUGCAAUAAUAAAAUUGACAGCAGAACCAAACCUUGAUCGCCAAUAUCAAAUAAUUACUAAGAAGAAUGAAAUAGAGGCAUACAUCUAAGAAACAAGUUUUCAUCUGCUGCAAGCUAGUAUCCAAAACUUCAGCUUUGCUUUUAUUCCCUUCACUGACUGACUUCAUAUCUCGUUCCAUAACUGCUCUAAGAUCUGGUUUCCAUAGUUUAUACCUGAAGGCACGACAGAAUAGCAUCUCUUAACCAAGUGACUAGGUAAAGAAAGUGCUUGUGUGGAACAGUGAAUACUGAGAUGUAGCCAUAGGAGGAAAGCAGAAAAUGUGAAAUCACAUGUUGGAAUUAAACACAAACUAAGGACCCUUUCUUACUAAAGUAUGCUAAUUAAGCAUUAUACAACAAAAUCAUUUUCCUACUAGGUUAGGUCAGUUGCAUGAAUCAGACCACAAUGCAAAAUUCAAUUGUGCACCACGUCCACGUCUAAUGACAAACUAUUUUCACCUAAAUCCUUAUGUUAACUUGGGAUCAACUUUGAGUUAGGGAAGAAGGAAUCAAGGGAAAAUAAUUUGUCCCAUGCCUAAGUGUCAGAAAGCCGAAAUGUAAAUAAAGUAGAUGACUUUAAAGCAAAUAACUAGAAGUGAACGCCUUAAGGUAAGGUGGUUUGAAGCCAAAAUCCAAAGAAUAAAAAAGACACACAUUGUAUCACUCGAAGCAGGCCUCAUACAAAGUCCAAUCAUUCGAACGACAGUUCACACACGAAGAAAAAUUGCGGCCAACCCUAGGUUGCAUUCAUUUCAACCAAUCAUAGCCUAUCCCAGAUGAAUUCAGCCACAACUAUAUAUCUGCUCUUUCAAACUUCACACCCUAAAUGCCCAAACCUAGAUGUGAGGGUGUUGAGAAGGAGAUCCCUCACCAACUGGUGGGUUAUCUGUAUAAGGACUAGUAAAUCCCCAAACCUUCGGCAAGCUUUUGGUGUUGGCGAUGGGUUGAGGUCGCAGAAGAUCCUUUAUCCCUUUCUCCACAGCAUUUGUUAAGAGACUGAACGGUAGUCUAGCAGAAUCUGACAUGUUAUAUUUUCAUUGAAGAACAAUACUAGCUAGUUUUGUCAUUGUAAAGAAAGACCUUAUUCAUUCUCAGUAUAACAUUAACAAUUUAUCCAAAAUUGUCUUCAAAAAAAACAAUUUAUCCAAAAUAGAUCCUUGUCUAAAUAUUUCUUCCCCAUCCUGGUUUCCAAUAUUCAACGCCAUCACAUUUUAUAUACAUGAUUGAAACUAUAGGAGUGAUUACAAAAAGAUAUUUUGGUAAAUAAUUAAUUUUAUUUUAGGAAUAAUUAACAACCAAAAUGAUUAUAUAAGUUUGUUGCUGGUUAACUACUGACCACUUUUUGAAUAUCAUUAACCAAUGGAAUCAUUAUGGGGACGAGUAAAAUGUUGAACAUCCCUACGGUUGACUGGUUAAUUGUUCAUUUGUACCUAACCUAAGAAAUAUAUCUACCAUGAAUUCCUCAUUUUGAUAUUUUCAAAACUUUAUUCAACCAAACUGACAAUUUUUAUCAUGAAAAGUUUAUAAAAUCUAGACAUCCAUGAUCCAAUUAAGUGAGACAAGAGACUUUUUUUAAAUGAACAGAAUUACUUACCCCAUGUCAUCAUAUCCCAUAACAAGUGCCUCACCCUACAAUAAUAUCAAACCCACAAUCAGUAUAAAAAUACAAAAAUACAGGUUAUUAAAAUACUAAUACAGUAUUUGUAUGGACUGCUAACUUCUUAUUGCAGCAAACUACAUAAUUGUGAACUAAAUACAUUAUAGCUACACAACUAACAAGAAAAUAUUUUUCAAGUACUAACAUGAAAAAAUUCACACAAGUAAAACUUUUAAUUUGCAGCAUAUCUGCAGAUUAAUAACCAUGCUCGUUGUCACUUUGUUUUGCAGAUCUAUAGAAAAUAAAAUGAAAAGGAAUGAUAACAGGAUAACCAACGCCCUUGUACGCCAUGAUAUUGGGCAAAACCUUUUUAUGCAGAUCUUCUGUCUGUGAUAGACAUACUCUUUGCUCAUGUAAUGUAAUUAUAUAUUAGAUUUUGUCAAAACUAAUGCAGGUCACAUAUCAAUUUUAGUUUACAAAUAUCAUAGUUAUUUCUUCUAUAGGUCACAGUCAUCUUCUUGUUCAAAGAAAUGGAGCUGUCAACCUAAAUUAUAUGGUUCACAAUGUAAUGUAUGUAUUCAAUUAUUAUCCAACAGUGAAUAUAAUAUCACACUUAUUAAAGAGAGGCCUUAAAGAGAAUUAUUCACAUAAUGAUUCAUAUCCUCUUCUAACCUUACAUGGUAACUUCUCAAAAUAGCAGUAAAAAAAGACCCACGAAAAAAUAGCAUGGAGAUUGGAGAUUGAUUACAAUUAAGAACGAAAACAUAUUCUUUCUUUUAAAAUUAACGGUACGAGCUUACCAGAUUAGUUGGUGUGAAACACAUGUUUGCAUCCUUAGUUGCAUAAAAUCGAUCAAGCAGCUUCUUGAUGUGAUCGUGCAUCGUAGCAUCCGUACCAAUGCACUCCUAUACAAUUGUCACUAUUUAAUAAAACAUACUUCGACUUAAAUGGAAGAAAUGGUCAUAUUGCUAAUUAUAUGAUUCAAUAUGUAAGAUUCAAUAUCAUUCUCACCUUAUCCAUACGGCUCAGCAAAUCCGCUUCACUAAGAAGAGGUGGUGGAUUAGUUUUUCCGGGAUCAAGGGUCAAUGUUGUUGGAAUGAACUGUAAUAGCAAUAGCUCUGUCAUGAAUACUUAUUUUUUGGGCUCAGAUGCAAUUUGCAUACAGUGUACUCAAAACUCAUGGAUUAUAACAAUGUAUAAAAAAGUAUCUAAAACUUUAUGUUCAGAUUGGACCUAGUGACGCGUAUGUUCCAAUCGUACGCUAGCUAACUCCAUUUCUGAGAACGAGGAUAUGUAAGGAAAAAUGGUAAUUUGUCUAUGUAGUGGGUUGAUGGCACAAACAGAUUUUGCCUAAUUAUAAUGUUGUUAUGCUUAAUGAUGAUAGUCCUUUAUCUGGUAGCAUUCAUUUAAAUAAUAUUUACAUACACUAAGAAAAUGUGGUUUGAUUUUAAGAACCAAAAGUGAUCCUUGAGUUAAAUUGAUGAAAAGAAUGUAAAUAAAACUAAAAUAUAGUAAAAUAUACAAAAGCUUUCUCAAAACUUAAUAGACACUUUAACAUGGAUGUUGAGGCUACUACUUGCAACAUAUAUACUUGGAUAAUUUUGUUUUUGUUUUAGUCACGAAGAUGAAACUUGUCAAACAUCUAAAUUUUUAGCAUCCAAUAGGCACGAAAUGUGACACUGAAGAUUUAGGAUACCAGGGAUACCGGGAUUUGUUUGGUGUAGAAUUCCAUCAGGAAUCUGAGAUUUAGGAUACUGAACAGCUUGCAAUGGGAAUAACAAUAACUUGAUGUAAUAUGAAGAAAAAAUACAACAGAAUAAUCAACGCAAAAUCAAGGAAUGUUGCAUAUAAUCUGAUGUGAUAAUCAAAGGCAAACCUGUUCACCGAUAGCAUAAUUCGGAAUCAUUGAUCCAUCCCAUCUAUCAUAGAUAUAGAUAUCCAAGUAGUUUCUCUGUUCAAAUUAAAACCAACAAAUACCAUAUAAUCAGAACAUUUGUAACUUCCCACACAUUUAUUGGAAUUUGGUUGAAAAAUGCAGCAAGACAAUGCAAACAUUUUUUCGAACUUCUAUGUGAAUUUUACUUGUUCCUAAAAGAAAUACAAUGAUAUAUUCAUAGUUAUAUAGUUUCAAUAACACCAACUGAAAAUCAGGGAACAAUGCAAGACACCACUCAAAGUAUUUGCUUUUAACUGAUUAAUUAAUUAUGUUUAUCUUAUACACUGCACAAUUAACUGAAAACCUGUUUGGUUUCAAAGCAGAAGAAAAAAAAUAUUACAUCACGAUAAAUCCUAUCUAAAGCAUGCUUAUCAAAUCAGUAAAUCAACCCAAUCGCAUAAAUUCUGGAAGUGAAAUAUAUACUCCCUCCGUCCCAUAAUAACCCAGUCUUUUGUUCAUUUCACACAUAUUAAGAAAAAGUGUAUAAGUCAAAGAAAGAGAAAAAUGGUUUUGAGUGUCUUGUAAGUGUUGGUGCAUUCCCCAUUAUCAUAAAUACAAAGUAGAAUAUAUUGAAUUGGAAGUAAUGAAAAUAGUAUUAAUUAGAGUUAUAAUUGGAAAAAAGUAAUUAAUAUUGCAUUGAAAAGUGAUAUAUGUCAAUUAUCUUGGGACAAAUUUUUUCUGCGAUGGCUCAAUUAUUUAGGGACGGAGGGAGUACAUAGCAUGACUGAGAAAUCUCACCUCUAGAAUCACCCUCCCACAUGCCGAAAAUCGUUCACCAGCAAUGUCAAUUUCCACUGUGGUUUCAGCUCCUAAGGCCGGCUUUGAGACACAUGCCAGGAAGUGGCGAACAACCAACUCAUACAGUUUCUGUUGUCAUUUGAGAAAUAACAUUAAUAUGAAUAUCAAAGUAAAAUAGAAGGUUUUAAAGUAAAAAAAAGUGGUAAGCAUAAGCAAUCAUUUCUGACACGAUGGUCUUGACUCCAUCCUGAUUCUCCAGCAGAAAAUUUGGUGGGGUGGAUGGGUGGAUGAGCCUGGUCAUCAUGUCCACCACCUCUAGGGUUUCUCCAAAGUCCCGCCCCAGGGUCCAGCAACCGUUGUGCAUAUAUUCCCCACUCAGGAUGCCCUUGUUGUUCUUGCACAAUUGCCUACACUUAAACAAAAUAAAUAGAUUAAUAAGGGCAAAACAAUAUUACUGUUGAUGCAGACUGCAAUAGAAGCUGAAUAAUGCAAGUCAUAAUUUAGCAUACUGGCUUCAAAAGACAGAUCAUCCUAGCUCUCACUUAAAACCAUAUAUUCUAUAUAUAUGUAAUGUCCUAAUAUACAUACACGGAUAAAUUGAUGCUGUAAUGUCCUAAAAAUACUAUGUCUAAUGUUAAAUCCAAACCAUUCUUAAUGUAUCUACAAGAAACCAUAUACCCAUGGCCAUAUUAUAUUCUAAUGAAUUUCCAACAACAUCCGAAGUGAUAAACACUCCAUAUUUCCUUUUUUCUACCUUAAUCAUGACAUAAAGAACACCUCCUCAAAACCAUUGUUAAAAUUAUUGUAAAUAAGGGUAAUUGCAGAAAUUAGGCUUUUUUGCCAUUUAAUUAGUGUAUAUAUAAUAUUCUCCAGGGUGUAAUUAAGACACGCGUAUUCGCUCAAAUGCUCUUUCAUUUUCACUCUCAACAACCCUAAUUCUUUUACCCCCUUUUCUUUAAUUUGUAGUAUACAACCCAAAUAAGUGCAACAACUACACAAAAUCCAUGUCAAGCAGCAUGUUCUCCAAAUUCAUCUGGGAUGACCAACCAAUAAUUAUGUGUGCGUGAAACAGAAGAUAAAGUUACCCACAUGCAAAUCGGUCCUUGAAGAAAAGUUAUCAGUUUCUGUACGAGGAUAACUGAUGAAACCACCUUGGUAAAGUUCUUCUGCCACCUAUAAAUAAUUAAAAAAGGAAUAAGAGACGUGUAUAAAAACAAUGAUACCCAUAAAACUAUGAAAAACAAAAAGUUGGAACUUGAAAUAAAAAACUCAUGUCACUAACUGUAAGCACAUUUAUUGUGUAGCUUAAUGUGUUCAUUCACCACAUUGUGGCAAACAGAGAUACACGUAAUCAGAACAUUUGUCCAAUGACUAAAUACAGUAGCAGGAAAGCAGUUAGAAAAACUGUUGAACAAAAUGUACCUUUUGCAGGGCACAUAUGCAUUCAGACACAGGUAAGGAACAGGAGAUGGGUACACAUAUGCAUGCAGACACAGUUAUGGAACAGGAGUUUAAUUUCAAACACUGCUGGGUUGUAAGUUUUUUAGGAUUUUUCUGCAGCAUCGUCUACAAAUGCAUUGCUUGCUCUUAUAUAUUCCAAACUCAUUACCAACAAUGAAAUACAUGGAUUCUCAAUAUUUACUCACCUUCAUUGUGCGCUCAGAGCUCAUACGGAAGUAUCGUGAGGCCCGUUUCUCAAGCUCAAUAGUACUCAGGGGAUGGGGAGGAUACUUUGGCUUCUCCUUUGGUGUUACUUUUGUCACCUGAAUGGUAAUAAUAUGUAUCAUCAGUAAAAAAAAAAAAAAAAAAAACUGAUUUCAGCAUAUGCAAGCCACAGUUUGGUGAACACUUACGGUUGCAGUUGGUUCCUCGAUGCACAUCUCAUAUAUUAUGACAGCACAUGUAUAAUCAAACAAAUGUCCCCGCCUGCCAAGUGAAUUCAGAUUAUAAGCAGUUGGUAAAACUCAAUAACAAUUGUGAAUGCACACAAAGCUUUGCAUAUUACUCCCAGCUGAAAUUAGCAACGCCUUCAUCUGAUCUAUGAGAACAUUUGAUUAACCAAAACUCUUCCGGUUCAUGUGCUUGUAUCUCCCAGUAUCUUUCCACAACAAAUCCAAGCGUAGGGAACUGUAGCCAAAAUGAAGGCAAAAUGGAAACUCACAAUAUGCCAAUACCAGCUUAAGCACAAAAACAUCACAAUAUUGUCAACAUAAACACACCUGGCAAGGCCCAUAACUCAAGACAGUAUUUCUGCCAUCUGUAACAGUGUCUAUGACAAAAGCAUCUUUCAUUAACAUGGUCUGAAAUCUGGUGAAAGUGGCACCUAUACGGAGAUCUAUUUCCUGCAUAAAAAAAAAAAAAUAACCAUCCAUCACCCUCACAAAGUAAACAAUAUCAAUUAGCAUAUGUUGGUUAUUAGUGAAAAGAAAUUGAUAGAAACCAAUAACAUCAGAUUCCUGUUUCAAUUGGAACACAAAAUUUGAGCUCCAACUGAGACCAAAAAAGGAGACUCGCCUGCCUAGCAUCUACGGCAUCAGCAAACCACUUAUUAGGCUCGACAAGAUUUUGCACAGCCUGAUGGAUUUCCCUGCAUCAAAGCAGCAACAGUAAAAAAUUAUGAAUCAAAUACACAAACACAGAUACUAAACACACCGCUGCCAAAGAAACGAUCAAUUUAAGAAAAUUGAACUGAUAAAUUGAUGUGUUAGUGUCGUGUUGGACACCAAACUUGCCUUCAAUCUAAAGUACCAGUGAUACAGGCAUUACAAUAACAGAGGAAAAAAACAACUAAAAUCAUGACAAAACAACGCCUAACCUGUCAAUCAAUGCAGAAAAUCGAGCUCUCUUAAUAGUAAGAUUCGGAUUUGCCGCAGUACACACAUUGAUAACUUCAAACGCGAUAUUCUCACCUUCCCUAUCGCAAUCAAGCCACAAAAUAAGCCACUGACACCGCCUAGCUUCUUCCUCUAAUGUCCUCUUGAUAUCCUUUUUAUCCUAGGGUUUAACAACGCAAUCAAAAUCGCACAGAUAAUCAGAAACAUUCUAAAGAGAAAUUAAGAUUCUAACAACGAAGAAGAAGAAGAAGAAAAACGAGAAGAAAUUACCUCGGGAACGAAUUUAUGAACCGGAGCCUGGAAGAGAUCGGCGGGAUCACACGAGUGCCAUUUCCGGUAACGAUCGUCGAAGUCAAGCUCCAUGAGGUGACCGAGGACGGAGGUGAAGAGCAUUUGACAGGGUUGACCUCGAAUGGUGUAGUUGAAUUCGAAGAUUCUGUUGUAGCGAGAACGACCGUCCCUUACUCGAAGGCCUUGGUUGCGAGAGAGUAUGCUCGCCACCGAUUUCGCCACCGACGGCUUCUCUGCCACGUUUAGGACGGUUAUGGCGCGUCCACCCAUUGGUUACGGUGACUCGUAGCCGAUUCCGUGGGGUUUGGAUUUUCCCGCCGUAAUUUGGGUGUUUAUCUGUAUCAGGGUUUGGGAGGGAGAGAAAGCGGAACCCAAAUUGUUUGAAAAUUCAAUCAACGGGAAAGUAACUCGACUCGGGUACGAAUAAAUAAGGAGGUUUUUUCUAAAUUACCUUUGAAAAAUAGUGGGUAAUUUACCCAUCAACCAAUGAAAAUGAGAAAUUUGUUGGUGGGGUCAAGAUUGUUCAUGAAUACCACUUAAAAAUGUGCUUAUGUGGUUAAUGUGUAUUGGUUGGGGUAAAUUACCCACCAUUCUUCCAUGGGUACCCUAGUUGUCACCAAAUAAGGAAGAUUGAUGUGGACACAUUUCAUAAAGACGAGGCACGCAACUAAAAUACAUGUUUGGUCCCUCAACAAUUAAUUGUCGAGGAAUUCAAUAACCGAAUAGAUAUGGGAGUUUCCAAAACUCUAUUGUUACAUUUUUGAUCUCCUACGUGCAAUUUUGAGUAAUUUCAAGUCAUUUCAAACCAAUUUCAAUCACAAAAACAAGUAAGUUUUUUUAAUCUUAUCGCAUUGUUGUUUUGUGGUCAAAUUGUUUAACUUUUUUUGUUAAAUUUUAAUUAUAUAGGUUUUAUUGAUUUUAUGAUAUGUUAGGAUAGUUUAGGUUAGAAUGGUUAGAAUUGUUAAAGAACUUUUAUUGAAUUGUUAGGUUUAGGUUUUGAUGAAUCGUUGUAGAAUUGUUAGGUACCGUUUGGCCCAACUUUUUUCCAGCUUCUCUAAGUUUUUAAGAAGAAGUUAGGCCAAACACAAUAUCAAUAAAGUACCUUCGAAAAAAAGUAUUUUUUUUAGAAUGCAUAAAAUUAAAUGAAAUGUGCUUUAACCAAAAGUUGUUGAAUGCUACUUCAAAAAACUACUUCUCCCCAAUUUAUUUUACAAGCACCCUCUCUACAACUCACGCUGGCAACCUAUUCUUUUAUUUUUUCAAUAUGCUUUUUUCUUCCAUUUUAUUUUAUUUUUUGAACCGAUCCAUUUAAUUUUUUUUAAUGACGGUCCAUUUAAGUUUAUUAUCAAUUUUUUAAGGAAUUUCAUUAUCUUUUUAUCACUUAUAUAUUAAUUUCAAUAUAUUUUGAUUAUCACAACCUCGCAAAUAUUUUUAUUCACGCUGUCAAUGAAUGACAACAAAUAUUUUUAUUCUCUUUCUUCAACCUCAUAAAUAUAUACACACACAUUAGUGUUUAGAGUAAUAUUUUAUGUUCGUCUGUCUGUUUUUUUUUGUUACGCUAAUGCGUAUAAUUUUUUUUAGUGUUGCGUAAUACAUAUAAUUAUUUUUAUAAAAUUUUGAUUUUAAUUAAAAGUACAAGUGUAGUUGCCUAAAAAAAUUAUACUUAUAUAUAUUUUACACAUUUGUAUUGUAACAAACUAUGCAUAUCUUUUUUUUAUUAAAAAAAUUAGACAUUAGAACUUAGAAGUCUUUUAUUUUUUUCCUUUUUAAUUAUGUUUUUUUUUCUUUUGAUUAUAUAGUACAUGCCUACAUGCAAUGAUUCACCUUUCAAAAAAAAUACAUGUAAUGGUAAUAAAAAAAAUUGGUGAAUGAUAAUGCCUGCCAAUUGAAUGGUGAAUAUUUUUCGACUAAAUGUUUUAUUAAAAAAAAAAUAUUCAUUAACAGUUUGUUUUCAUCAUUGUUUUCCAUUAUGGUGGUAUUUUAGCUUGAGUCCCUGUUUAGUUUCACGGCCACCAACCGCAAACGAACGUUUACAGCCAUCCACCGUGAUUUGAUUGAGAUUGGGGUUGUUUGGAUCUCUGCUAUGGAAUUGAGUGCCUGUUUGGAUACCCGUUAGAAAACGGAAAACAUGCGUUUUGAGCGGUCAAACACAGUUUGACUAAAAAGUGUCAUGUUUGGCUUUCAUCCAUAUGAAUCGCUUCCAUAUUAUUUUAAAAGGAAUUUAUGAACCAGCAAAAAUGUACUUAUGAUUUUAGAAAGGUAGAGAUAAUUAUCUGAAAAGAAAAUAUGAUAUUUAGUUUCAAAAACAAUUAAAAGGAUAAUUUGGUCAUUGCACAUUCAAAAUCAAUUUUGACUAAAAUUAUCCAAACAACAUCAACUCAUAAGAAUCACUUUUAAGUGAGUGUAUCCAAACAUAAAUCAAUUCAUAUCAAACUCACUUUUAACCAUAAUCAAUUAUCUCAAACUCAAUUCUACCGGAAUCAAUUCUCCCCGCCGCCAAACCAAACAAACACUGAUUCUGAAUCUUGAAAUCGAUUCUAGUUGAAGCAACAUUUUGUAGCUUUUGUAUUUCCCUUAAAUCAAUUCUAAAGUAACCACAAGCAAUGUCAAUUUUGCCCUCUUUAAUAAAAGAAACUUUGCUGUGUAUAGUGACGAUCUCUUCCUUCCUUCAAUUAUCAUGUCAUUUUUGUAUUGCAAAACAGUAAGCUUUUGUGUCAAUGUUAGAAAAGAUAUGACUCCAAAGCCAAAGACCCCCCUUUUUCUGUUUUGGUACAUCCCUUUCUGAUCAAAAAUUUUGGAAGUCCUUAUCGUUAUCCCUUAUUUAACGAAUGGAUCACCCCUUUCAUUUAUUUAAUAAACUAAACCAAAAUAGUUAUAGAUGUUGAAUUAUGAAAACAUGGGGAAAAUAAGCAUAAUAAAAAGUGUUUUUACGUCCUUAAAAAAAAUGCUUUUAGUUUUUAAUAAAAAUUGGGCUAAUAUUUAGGUUAUAUUUGUAUUUAUUAUUUUUAAGUUGAAAAAAAAUUAUUUAAAAAAUGAUAUACAAAAUUUUAAAUAUUUUACAAAAAUUGAAAAGAAAUUGAUCCACAAAUAAUAUACACACGUAUGUUAAAACUUAAAAUCCAUUUUGGUCAUUUACACAUCCAAAAGCAAUUUUGACAUCGAGUAUCCAAACAACAUUUUUCAUACAAAGCACUUUUGUUGUGAGGGUAUCCAAACAUAAAUCACUUUACAUUAAACUCACUUUUAACGAAAAUCAAUUCUACAAAAUCAAUUAUAUUAAAAUCAAUUUUCUCCACCACACAACCAAACACACACUGAACCUUUUUUAUUUACGAAAAUACACAUAAAAACCCGUUUUCUUCUUAACAAUAAUACAACAUACAAUGAAGUGUAUUAUUUGAUUUUGUUAUCUUUUUCUUUUAGGCAAAGGAUAAAGAGUAAUGCUAGCAACAAUAUCUUUCCAACACUCUUCCAAACAUUCACUUUAUUAUUGGUUUAAAUAAAGCUGGGUCUCACACAUUGAAAAUGGGUUCCACUUAAAGUGAUGGGACAUACACUAGUUUCAUCCAAUAAGAGAGUGAGUGUUGGAGAAAGUGUCCCUAGCAUUACUCGAGGAUAAAUAUAUUAAAAAGAAAACAAAGACAUACAAAAACUUGGGGACAUAUGACAUGACCCUGGUACAAUCCAUAUGAGAAUACAUCGCGAUAAAGCAAAACCACCUAAUCAAUCCUAACAAACAAACACUUGUUUCAAGCGCAACCUAACGCACCGACGUACGAGUACGAAACAAAGUUACAAAAAAAUGAAAAGAGUGGCAUCUGUGAGAGCAAUUAGGGUUCACAUUGGCGAAUCAAUCGGACGCAAACACGGAAUCCAGAUCCACGUACCAACUCCUUGAAAAAAUCAACAAGUAUAAAGCUCCUUCGAGCAUAACAGUCUGACAAGACUAAAACGAACCAACACCGGUAGGGAGGCACACCUGACGUCUUGAGAUCUACAGAUCUCAACAGAUCUGGAACAUCAUAGAAUCAAAGAGAACAGGAACCAACCACAACCAAUCUCGUCAUAACCACAUAUUGAACCAGAUCGAUAGGUCAACACAAUAGUCGCCAACCAAACCCUUUCUGGUUAAAAGAACCAACAUACCCUUUCGAGUUUACGAAACCAACCACAAGUCAGUAACCGAAAUCACCCCAGUCUCUGAAAGAAAAACGAACGAAACGACCAACCGCCGACGACAAAAGAACAACCGCGAAUCCGCGAUUGUAAAACAAAAACACGAACCUUCCAAAAUGGUGGAGGCAAUCUGCGAGCAUAACCCACCAACACAUAUAUGGAUAUGAACAAGAAAACCCAAACAGAAUGCCGGCAAUAAAAGAAUCGGCAAUCCACUAACACCACCAGCGAUCCAUAAACCGCCCGAGUGACUACGGCGAGCAGCUUUGGCGAAGCAAAAGAAGUCGCGGCGGCGCCGACGAAGGAAACCCCAUAAGGGGGUAGGUGGUGGAAGAACCACCACCACUUUGCUGAUCUACAUCUUGUUAAGGAAAAUUUUGAUUUGGGAGAAGAGAAAGUGGUGUUUCACUUUUCUGUAAAGUUAGAGAAAGGUGAGAGAGUUUUUACCUAGAGAGAAGGGUUUAUGGAAAGAAGUGAUCUUCCUUAAUCCUUUGAGAAUUGUUGUUCACACAUUUGAUAAGACUGAGGAACACGAGUAAAAUACGAUUUUGCCCCCACGGCAGGAAAAUUCGGCUGGAGUUAACUGCCGAGGAAAACCUCGGUAGUUAACUGCCGAGGUUUUCUAGACAUAAACAAACGCAGAAACAUAAACAUAUACCAUUUUCAAAACUUCUCUAAAAUUCUCAAUUUCUCUCCAAUCUUCACCAAAGCUGUAACACUCCUAUUUCUAUUUAAGCAAUUAAACAUGCGAAUAAUACAUUUAUUCAAGAAAUAGAGAUUACGUCUUAUUCAAAAUUCAAAAACCGAUAGACAUGUAUAUAAACCUCAAUAGUUGCAGCGGAAUAUAAAUCAGAGUGAUCAAAUAUAUACAUGCCAUGAGCAAAUAAAUCAUAUCCCAAAGAUAAAUCUCAAAACCCAAACAUACGGGCAGUCAUCAACAAAACAAUAAUCCAAAGGAAAUAUAAACAACCUAAUCUAGACCGACACGACAAGCCUAGAUCAGAGCCGACACGACACCGAUAUCGGAGGAAGCUCCCGAUAUCCCAAGCAAAGACUCACCGAGCACUACUCCUGCACAACGUCUACUCACCCAUACAGGCAAGUAGGCGGUUAAAACCACUGGGGGUAAGCAUUACAUUAUCAUAAUCCAGAUGAUAAUAAAAUCAAAUAAUAUCAUGUAUUUGAAUAAUAUUAGCCAUGCAUAAAUACUUACAUCACAACUUGAUAGCUCAUAUCAAUAUACAUCAAUCACAUGAAUAAUUAUCCAAUCAUAAAUAUUCAUUCACAACAUUAAUCAUUGAACAAUCAUUAUCAACAUUCAUUCAUCUCAUUUAAUCACCAAUCACAUAUUUCACAUAGGACUCAUGCUAUGAUAUGCACUUAUUGACACAUAAAUGCAUGUGGUACCAAAUCUCAACAAGGUCGUCACCUUUCGAUGCCACUUGCACAUCGUAUGUAAGGGCUCACACCUGCCUUACAAUAAUCUCGAAGUAAAAGAGUUCAACCCUUUUACAGCAACAUCGACUAUGAUGCAUGGACAUGUAUAAGGACUCGAUAAUGCGACAACAAUUCACAAUCUCAACUCAAUAUAUAGGACGACACCCAAUUAUAUUGAUUAUCUCCACAACAUUGCAUUACCAAGGAAACAUGCCCAUACACGAUUAAAUCAUAGCAUUCAUCAUCAUCACAUCAACAUGAUUAUCAAUAAUCAACAAUGUUAUUCAACAUCAACUAUCACAUAUAGUUCACCGAUUCAAGCAUUCUCAUAUUCCAAGUAAGAUAGCAAAAUAUAUCUCAUGAUCAUCAUCACAUCCCAAUUACAUAUUUACAUACUCAAUUAUUCACUCUAAAUACUUCAUUAAGCCCAAUAUCAAGUUUGGAAAAGUUUCACGGCUUAUAGAAAAAGUUAUGAUAAGUUUUCACAAAAAUCCACAUGACCCAUGUGUAGUAAUUUAAUCAUAUCUCAAGUUCUAAAAAUCAUUUGGACGUCAAACCAAAACCAAAAGAUAGCUAACAUAAUUGUCUACAACUUUCAUGUUUACCAAAAAGUCCAAAUCAAAACAGAAAUAUGCGAAAACGAUGCAAGAGCGCGAAACAGGGGAAGCUGUCACUGGGCUGCUCGCCUCGCGAGUAGGGUUACUCGCCAUGGCGAGAAAUUCCAGUGGCUACUCGCCACCAGCUCGCCUCGCGAGUGAUGACAGUUUGCAGAAAAUUAUGUUUUCGUGAAAAAUCCAUUUUCACCCCAAAAUCCCAAUUUUUGACCUCCCAAUACCCAAAUUGAUUCCAAAGGUUUACCCAAAUGUUUUUAGACAUGAAAAGAUACUCAAAUCCAUAUACAAACUUGAAUCAAACAUCAUUUUAAACAAAAUCACCAUUUGACCCAUUUUCUCAAAACAUCAACAACAUCUCAUUUUUCAUCAUCAAUCCAUAAUUAUGUAUACCCAAGUCAUAAUUCACCCACAACAACAUCAGUUAAUAGCAAUAACCUUAAUGGAACAUGAAUCACAUCUCAUUUUAACAACAACAUAUCAAGAUUCACUAAUUGAGUAUAAUUUCAUAGCUUGACAUUUAUACAUACUUUGAAACAUGUAAUUUCAUCCACAAACAUACCAUAAUCAUCAAUUCAUGCACAAGAAAAUAGCAUCACAACAAGAGCACGGAUUUAACAUCAAUUGUUCAUCAACCCAUUUUCAUACAACCAUGAGAAAUGAAAAAAUUUGAAUUGAUUAUGAUGAAAACAAACCCCCUUACCUUAGAUGAUGUUUAAUCUUAACUUAGGUUUCACUUUAUCUCCUAAUUGCUUCAAUCUUCAAGUUUCCCCCUUCCUCUAACCUUGUUCUUCCUUCACCUCUCACUUCUCUCUCUACCUCUCUCUAACUUAGUGAAAUGAAAAGGAAUGAAUGAAUUUGCUCUCACAACCCUAAUGUUAUUUCCCCCUAGUGGGCUUAACUUAGUUUUAGUGGGCUUAACCCGUUUCUAUUCAAACCACAAUUCUAAAAAGUUUCUAUACACUCAACGGUAAUUACUAACAACGGUAAAUUAUAACCAACGGUCACUAAACGGUAAAAAAAAUUAAUCACUACACUAGUAACUUAGUAAAAUAAGGGUUCUCACUAAAUAUUAAAAAUAAUUCUCACCAAAAUUACCAUUUUACCCUUACCCGCCAAAAGACCAAAAUACCCUUCUAAUACGGUAAUCCAUGUAAAUGCACCCAAUGACAAUUAAAUACACACAAGCACAAAUAAUCACAGACAAACACAUAAUAAAAGUAAUUAAAAUAAAUCUAGCUAAAAAUCGGGCUGUUACAAAAGCCAUUUUCACGAAUUGCAAGCAAAUCAAUUGCACAUUAUCACAAGUAAGUUGUAUCAAUCAUUUUAAUGAUAAUGUUAGUUUGUUUAGGUUUAUUUAAAAAAAAAUCAGAGUAGUUUGCAUGUGGUUAGGGUUGAUUUUAAAAUUGACAAUUUGAUGAUUGCAUGUGUAGUUUAGGAAUUGAUAAAUGAAUGUAGUUGUUGCCUAUGUUGUUUAAAACAUAAUGUGGCUUUGAACGGUGGCAAAUGAACACAAUUUGAAUAUGUUUUAUACUUUGCACACAAUGUGUUUGAUAAAAUGCCUCAAUGACAAUUUUAUUGAUUAUUUAGUUGGUUUAGGUUAUGGAAAUGAUAGAAAUGAUGUUAAUUAUAGUUUGGUUAAGUGUAUAUUGAUUUUUUAGUUAGUUUAGGUUACGAGAAUUAUGAUGGACACAAAUGAUUAAGUGUAUAGAAAUGAUUAAGUGUAUGUUAAUUAUUGAAUGAUGUUUAGGUUAUUACGGAAAUUAUGGACAUAAAUUUUAUUGUAAUGAUGAUUAUAUUGAAUGAUUUUAGGUUAUGGAAAUGAUGUUCAAUGUUGUACUUUUAAUGUGUUUGAUUAUGUUUAUGUUUAAUGUGUUUGAUUAGGUUAUGGAAAUGAUGUUAGUUUUAAAAAAAAUUGUGUAGAUAUGUCUGAUCAGAACCCGGUUGAUCCAUCUAAAAUGAUUGCUGGUCGGCGAGCAAUGACUCAGAGCAACCGGAGGGAGAGGCAAAGCGGGCACAUCCCAAAGAGGGGAAGAGGUCGGAGGGUGGAUGGUUCAGGGAGUUCGUAGGAGGAUUCUCAGGCUACACAGCCUGAAGAGUCGCAUGUGGUUGAUCCGAGCCAGCAGGUGGAGUACCUGAAUUAUCAGGAUCAGGUACACCACGAUGUUACGGAUGGUGGGUAUGACCAAGAUCAUAUACCAGAGUAGCAACAUAUAGCAUAUGAUGAUGACAUUGCAGCAGCUGUUGUCCCAGAGGUGUUACCUGUGGACUCUCCCUUUCCUUGAAGACCGGAAGACCUAUCUUUGCUGCACUCUUGUGCCAAUCAUGUGGCAUUGUCGCUUUGGUAUAAUUCAGAGAACGUAAGUAUAUUUUUUUUUAAAUGUUUUUUCUUUAUGUUUAAUUAUUUUAUUAAUAUUUGUGUUUGUUUAAUUAUUAUAUCAACUUUUAUAUGUGUUUUUUUUUUAAUUCUUUUCUUUAUGUUUAAUUAUUUUCUUUAUAUGUGUGUUUGUUUAAUUAUUAUAUCAACUUUUAUAUUGUUUUUUUAAAUUCUUUUCUUUAUGUUUAAUUAUUUUCUCUAUUUCAACUUUUAUUGUUUUCUUUAUGUUUAAUUAUGAUUUAAAUUUAUUUUGUUAUGUGUUUUAUUUAAGUUUUAAGGUUUACGUGUGUUAUGUUUUAUUUUUGCAUUUGUUGAGUUUUAUUUUGUUUAGUUAAAUGUUUACAUUGUUUAAUGUAUAAAUUGUUUAAACUAUGUUUAUUUUUUUAUUAUUUCAGGUUCGUAAGCUGCGUGUGGUAAAACCGAUUAAUCAUGGGGUUAAGAUAUUGAGUCUCGGACGCCCAAACGGGAAUCAUGAUUGGUUUUGGGAUCCACUUAGGGAAAGCGGGUUACAUGAUUUGGUUUACUUGGGCUACGCCACUGUGCCUCAUGCCCUGCCGAUGACUCUAUGCGAGAGGUGGCAUCCCGAGACCAGCACUUUUCACAUGCCCUUGGGGAGAUGACUGUGACUUUGGAUGAUGUCGCAUGUCUUAUGCAUCUUCAAAUUGAGGGGCGGAUGUUGAGUCAUGGGAGGAAGAUGCCGAAACAUGAGGGAGUGGCACUACUGAAGAGGUACUUGGGUGUAUCGCAGCAGGAGGCAGAGAAAAUUUGUGGUACGGAGUACGGUGGGUACAUUAGUUACCCGAAGCUGAGGGAGUUAUAUAAGAGGUACCUUGGUAGGGCUAACGUAUUGGCGGAUACGGAGGAUGCAGAGGAGAUGGAGGAGCUGCAGAGGGUUAGAACAUUUUGUGUGAAGUCCUAUCUCUUAUAUCUUGUAGGAUGCUUGUUGUUUGGUGAUAGAAGCAACAAACGCAUCGAGUUGGUCUAUCUGACGACCAUGGAGGAGGGCUACGUGGGGAUGCGUAAUUAUUCCUGGGGAGGGAUGACACUCGCAUACCUAUACGACGAGUUAGCUGAGGCGUGUAGGCCUGGAGACAGAGCUCUUGGGGGAAGCGUGACACUGCUCACUCUAAGAAACUUAUAAAUGUGAAUCUUAACUUUUAUUUUUUUGUUAUAUUUUUUCGUGCGUAAUAAUUUAUAAAUUGAUUUGUUUGGUUUGUGCAGACAUGGUUUUUGGCGCAUUUUCCUGGCUUUUACAGUGUUGAUCCCAACACCGACUACAUGGAAAACCAUCUGGUUGCAGCGAGGUGGAAGCUUCA